CUACGGGCCGCUGCAGUAGGGAAUAUUGGACAAUGGGCGAAAGCCUGAUCCAGCAACACCGCGUGCACGAUGACGGCCUUCGGGUUGUAAAGUGCUUUUAGAGGAGAUGAGAAAGGACAGUAUCCUCUGAAUAAGCCUCGGCGAACUACGUGCCAGCAGCCGCGGUAAAACGUAGGAGGCAAGCGUUAUCCGGAUUUAUUGGGCGUAAAGCGCGUGCAGGCGGUCUAGCAAGUUGGAUGUGAAAGCUCCCGGCUCAACUGGGAGAGGUCGUUCAAUACUGUUAGACUAGAGAAUAGGAGAGGGAGGUGGAAUUCCGGGUGUAGUGGUGAAAUGCGUAGAUAUCCGGAGGAACACCAGUGGCGAAAGCGGCCUCCUGGACUAUUUCUGACGCUAAGACGCGAAAGCUAGGGUAGCAAACGGGAUUAGAUACCCCUGUAGUC
rnacentral:rRNA from 1 species